rnacentral:lncRNA from 1 species
UUAGAAAAAUAUAGUAACUCAAAUAUAGACCUUAGAGUUCACAUCUAGCUGCAAGCAUCAGUUACUCUUGAGAGAGAUAGAAGAAAAGCCAAAAAGAUGGAAUUGUUUCAAAUAUCUCAAAGACCCAUCUGAGCUGCCACGCCGUGAUACAGAUUUUUUCAGCUCAUUAGAAAGAUAUAUCGGAUUCAUCUUCCAAAGAAGAACAAGAUCUUCAUAGCCUCAUUGCACAUAAAAUGAAGCGGAGGGAGUUACUAGAAAAGGAAAAGAGGGAGGUCAACUGAAAUUUCACCAAAAGGGUGGUUUUGCAAUUGGAAAUUUUUCAUUUGAGAGAUCUGCAGCAGAAAAAGACGGGCAAAACCACCCAUAGAAACUCCCCACAGCUCUCUGCUUUCACCACAGCCUCAGACUUCAACUAAUGAGAUUACCACCAUUUUCGUGUUUCCUUUUUGAAGAUCAGAUCUGUGUUAUAACUCAGGCAAAAAGAGUCCGACGCCGCCAUGGCUGCAAAUACCACCAAGGGAAACCUGAAGAAUGCCCUGCCAAAGUACGGGUCAGAUAAUCUCAAAUGCCUGAUUAAUAAGCUCAGAAUGGAAUGAAAUAAUCACAAAAUCAUCAUCGCCACUUUCAAGCCGUCGAUCAUACUCACCACGACUGGCAUAACUUGUCUCUAAACCAAAUAGACUAAUAACAGCUUGUUUGGAUGGUUGUUACCAUUGUAUUGUAUUAUUAUUUCAGAUAGGCAGAAUACAUAGAUAGCCCCUUAAACUUGUCAUGAAUUGUCAUUGAGACACUUCAACUAGACAGAUGCAAAAAGAGAUCCGAUGACAACAUGGCUGCAUAAACCACCAGAAAUCUGGGGGCAUGCCCUGCCAAGAUACGGUCCGGAUAAUCUCAAAUUCUAAUUUUUAGUUGUGGCAGAAGCUCGCAGGUUCGAUAUAUCCAAACAAUGAAUCAUGGAAAAGAUUCUGUUUUGGUACUUUCAAGCAAAUGCGACUCAGAUGUGUGUUAUGAUAAGGCAAAAGAGAAACCAACAAUCCCAUUGCUGCAAAACAACAGUUGCAUGUGUGAGAAGAUUCAAAACUCUCCAGGCAGGCCAUCCCGGGUUGCCACGCCAAGAUACGGGUUGGCUCAUCUCAAUGCCCAAAUCGGUUAGCCGAGACAUUAUCACUGCCACUUUAUGACCUUCCAUCAAUACCGUAAAAGAACACAGAGAAAAGACAGAGAUGUCAGUAUGCAACAACAACAACAACAACAAUAAACCAGUAUAAUCUCACGAGUGGGUCUGGGGAGGACAGCGAGUACACAGCCUUACUCUACCUUGUAGGGCAAAGAGGCUGUUUCCAAACAGAGAUGUCAGUAUAUAUAAUUAAAUCAUUUCUGCUGCUUCUGCUUUUGUCAUAAAGACAUAAACAAGGGCUGUUGGUUCUUUUUUUAAAAAAAAAAAAUAAUGGAGGAAAAAUCAAUGGCGAAACAGAGAGGGGCAACCACCCUUUCAAAGAAAACCCCAAACUCUCUGUUUUUGCCUCAUUUCUUUAAUUCUUCUGGGCUAACCUUUUCCCUUCUCAUAAUUGCAUACUUGUGAGGUCUCAAAAAUUAAGGGUUAGUUUCUUAAAGCUGAUUUUGGAAGCAAGGCCAAACAGGCUAUUACAUGGGCCUUUUCCUGAGGGCUCAGGUUUGCUGUAUUUUUGGUCAAAGCAAAUGAGAAGGCGACACUGCCAUAGCUGCAGACACCAGUUUGCUAGACAAAAGCCGUACUGGGUCGCCCUGCCAAGAUACGGGUCGGAUAUUUUCUCAAUGCCAUGAAUUGAACAUAGCCCAGAAACGAAAAGCAAAAAUCACAGCCCCUAUAUAUACAUCAGUAUUCAGUAGCAGCAACACAGAGAGGAGAAAGAGGAAGAGGAAGAGCAAUAUAAUAAGGGUCUGAUUGGAUGAUGAAUUUUUUUUCUUUUGGGUUUAAUUCAAAGGACUGUUGAUUUACAAUGGAGAAAUCGUAGGGAAUAACAGAGAGAAGCAACCAUCCUUUUACAGAAAAUCCCAAUCUCUCUGUUGCCUCAUUCUUCUCCUUUUCCCAGACACAAACCCAAAAAGAUUGGAACAAAGACCGUCAUGGCUGCAAGCAUCAGUUAGUCUUAUGAGAAAGGGAAAAAAACACACAAAAAUGGAUUCUUCUGCAAUAUCUCAAAGACCCAUCUGAGCUGCCAUGCCAAGAUUACAAAUUUUUCCCAGCUCAAUAGAUUUGUAAGUCCGAUUCAUCUUCCACAGAAGAAUAAAAUCUUCAUAGCCUCAUUCAGGGUAGAUCGGUGCACUAAGCUCCCACUAUGCGCGGGGUCCGCCGGUCCGGUGAUGGACCAGACCACAAGGGUCUAUUGUACGCAGUCUUACCCUGCAUUUUUUAAACGGUUUGAACCCGUGAUCUCCUGGUCACAUGCCAGCAACUUUACCGGCCACGCCAAGGCUCCUAUUCCUUCAUAGCCUCAUUGCAUCACAUAAAUUGGAAGGGAGGGAGUAAUAAGUAUUUUCACCAAAAGGGUGGUUUUAAAAACAGGCAUUUGAGCGAUCAUCGGCGGCGGACAAUUACCGAGGGGCAAAACCACCCAAUGAAACUUCCUACAGCUCUCUGCCUUGACCGCAGCCUCGAACUAACAAAUGAGUUUUUUUGUUAUUUUCCUGUUAAUCCAAGGGCAGCCUGGUGCACAAGACAACCCACGUUCACGAGGGUCCAGGGAGUCGCCACACUCAAGGAGUAUGAUGUAGACAGAUACCCUAAUGCAAGCAUCAAUAGCUAUGAAAGCUUUCACAGCUCGAACUCGUGACCGAUAGGUCACACGAGGAGAACUUACAAGUUACUCCAAGACUCUCCUUCCUAUUUCCUGUUAAUCCAAAUCAAAGAAAAGAUUAUCUUUUUUUUCUUUUCUUGCAAAUGGGGCACAGAUAUGUUACUCCAAGACUCCCGUUCCUAUUUUCCUGUUAAUCCAAAUCAUAGAAAAGAUUAUCUUUUUUUCUUUUCUUGCAAAUGAGGCUCGGAUAUGUUAUGACAAGGCAAAGAGAAGCCAGCUAUGCCAUGGCUGCAAAACACCAGUUGCAAGUGAGACAGAAAUCUCAAUCACAGGCCACACCGGGUUGGCACGCCAAGAUACGGGUCCAUUCAUCUCUAUACCCAAAUAAGUUAGCCCAGAUACAAGAAACAUCAUCAUCACUGCCUCUUAUGUAACUUCCAUCAGCAACAUAAACACACACACACACACAAAAGUAAACACAGAUUUCACUGGAAAAAAGUUACUUUUUUCAGGAAUUUUAAAAUUCUUAUGUCCAAACAUUGUCUGCUUCUUCUUUUGUCAUAAACAAGGGCUGUUGUCUUUUUAAAUGGAGGAAAAUCAACGGCGGAACAGAGAGGGGCAACCACCCUUCAAAUGAAAAUCCCAAUACUCUCUGUUUUGCCUCAUUUCUUUCUGGGCUAAUCUUUUUGCAUAUUUAGGGGAAAUUCUCAUGGAUUUUUCACCUGAGAAUUUCAACAUUCAACGGAAAAGAGCCUGUAAGUUUGCACUUAAGAAAAUAACCUUCCAAUUGAGGCUCAGAUCUGUAAUAUUAAAGCUAGGGCAAGAGAUUGGAGACACCACCAUGGCUGCAAAUACCGGUUGCAAGUCGUCACCGUCCCGGUCGCCCCGCCAAGAUACGGGUCCAAUUGUUCUCUUCCCUAAUCGAUUUGUUCAGAGACAGAAGAAAAAAUAUCAUCACAGACUCAUAUUUUUGCUACAAUUAAUAUUAUUAUUAUUGAUUCGCUUUUUGGGAGUGAGGAUUUGGAGAUAGAGUAGAGGGGUCGUUUGGAUACAGUUUACCGCAUUAGGGCCUUUUUUGGCAAAAAUGAAAUCACAGGUAUUGUAGAGAGGAGCAACUGCCUUUGAGCUUCCCUCUACUCUCUGCAACCCUCAUUCUUUGUCUCUAAACCAAAUAGACUAAUAACAUCUUGUAUUGUAUACUUAUUGUUAUUUCAGAUAGGCAGAAUACAUAGAUAGCCCCUCAAACUUGUCAUGAAUUGUCAUUGAGACACUUCAACUCGACAGAUGCAAAAAGAGAUCCAAAGACGCCAUGGCUGCAUAAACCAACAGAAAUCUGGGGGCAUGCUCCGCCAAGAUACGGUCCGGAUAAUCUCAAAUUCUAAUUUUUACAACUCUAUCGGAAACAACAUCUCUAUCUUCACAAGAGUAGGGUUAAGGUCUGCACACACACUACCCUUCCCAGUCUCCACUUGUGGGAUUUCACUGGGUAUAUUGUUGUUGUUGUAAUAGAAAGAUAUCUAAUUCAUAUUCCACAGAAAAACAAAAUCUUCAUAGCCUCAUCGCACAUAAAAUAAAACCGAGAGAGUAACAAGAAAAGGAAACUAGCAAGGUCAUAUGUAUUUUCACCAAAAAGGUGGUUUCGUAGUUGUAAAAGUUUUUCAUUGGAGCGAUCAUUGGCAGCGCAGAAUGACAGAGGGGCAAAACCACCCAUUGAAAACCCCCACAGCUCUCUGCUUUCACCGCAGCCUCAGACUUAAACUAAACUAAUGAGAUUUGCAAAAAACUUGCGCAACAAAAUAUAAAUAGUGACCUCAGAUUCCUAUUUGUGCAAAUCACCCCUGCUUUGGUCCAACCGGGUAGAUCUGAUUAUGGUUUUGAGGCUCAGAUCUGUGUUAUAAGUCAAGCAAAAGGAGAUCCGACGGCGCCAUGGCUGCAAAAAACCACCAGAAAUCUGGGGGCAAGCCCUGCCAAGAUACGCGUCAAAAUCAUCUCAAAUGCCCAAUUGAUAAGCUCAGAAGGGAAUAGAAUAUUGACAAAAAAUCAUCAUCGCCUCUUUCAAGCAGUCAAUCAUACUAACCAACACUGGCUACAAGUUAAAUACUUUGAAAAAACUGGAUAUACCUUAAAUAGCAAGGUGAAAACUGGCCAUUCCAUGAAAUUUUUACAGGGUUGUUGGGAUUGUUACAGUAAUGGAGAAAUCAUGGGCUAAUACAAAGAGAGGCAACCACCCUUUCAACAGAAAAUCCUAAACUCUCUGAAGCCUCAUUCUCGUUCUCCUGAGCUUUUGUUUUGUUACAUCUCCAUAACAGUUCUUUCUACUACCCUGACAGCUGUAAAUAUAAAUCAUUUCUUGUAUAUACUAUCUUUCUUUCAUUAGGAAUUAGGAGUGAGUCAUUAGUGAAAGCUUUCGGGUAACCUCAGAUUAAUGAGGCAAAACCAAGGAGAAGAGCGAAAACCAAAAAUUCUUGUACAUAUUUCGCUUUCUUUCUUUAGGAAUUAGGAGUGAGUCAUUAGUGAAAGCUUCCGGGGUCAGCUCAGAUUAAUGGGGUAAAACCAAGGAGAAGAGCGAAAACACUCAAAAGUAAAAAUGCUCAGAUUCGCCUUUCCUCGGACAAAAACCAAAAAUGCUUUGGUAAAACCACCAUGGCUGCAAGCAUCAGUUAGCCUUAAGAGACACGGAAGAAGCACCAAAGAAAUGGAACAUUUUCCAAUAUCUCACAGACUCAUCUGAGCUGCCAUGCCAAGUUACAGUUUUUUCCCAGCCCAAUAGAAAUAUAUGUCUUGAUUCAUCUUUCACAGAAGAACAAAAUCUUCAUUGCAUCAUUGCAUCACAUAAAAUGAAACAGGAGUGACAAGAAAGGAAAAUAGAGAGGUUAUAUGUAUUUUUACCAAAAGGCUGGUUUUGGAAUCGGAAAAUAUUUUCACUCGAGUGAUCAUCAGCAUCAGAGAAUGACAGAAAGGGGCAAAACCACUAAUUGAAACUCCCCACAGCCCUCUGCUUUCACAACAGCCUCAGACUUAAACUAAUGAGAUCUUUGCUAUUUUCAUAUGAGGCUCAUGUCUCACUAUGAUCAGGCAUUGAGUUUCUCAAAACUGCCAUGGCUGCAAUCUCCUCCAGAUUGCCCUGCCAAGAUACGAGUUUAAGGACAUCUCAAUGCAAAUCAAUAACGCCAUUGGCAAGAGUCAUAUCAUCACUGCCUCAAAAUGUUCACUUUUACCUUUAUCUUUAGUAUGAUCCUCGUUGUUUGGGUGUUAAUGCAGCCACAUAGCAGCGAGAACAAAAGAAUGGUAGCAGCAACAGAAACAGCAACAACAACAGCAGAUCAACAACAACAUGCAUCUCUCGAAGCUAGAUUUACAGAAAGAACUAAGCACUGUUAAUUGCUUCCAGCAAGAAAUCAUGAGCUUACCAGCAAAACUGAACGAAUGAAUAAAUAAAUAAAUCAUAUUUCUCACUGAUGUCUCAUUCUAUGACUCUCUCUGUUUGGCCAUUGAGGGCUCAGAUUUACUGUUUUGAUCAAAGUAAUAGAGAAGGCGAUGUCGCCAUGGCUGCAGACCAGCUUGCUAUACGACAGACAUACUGGGUCGCAUUGCCAAGAUACGGGUCAGGUAUCUUCUCAAUGCCAUGACUGAACAUAGCCCAGAAAGUAAAGCAAUCUUCAUAGCGCCUUUACAACAUCAGUAGCAGCAGCACAAAAAGAAGAGGAAGAGGAAGAGGAAGAGCAACAUAAUAGUGUGUGUUUAGAUUAAGGAUUUCAUUUUUUUCUUUUUUCUUGUUUAUUUGAAAGGGCUGUUGUUUUUGGUUAUAAAUGGAAAAAUCAUGGGCAUAGUGGAGAGGGGCAACCACCCUUUACAGAAAAUCCCAGUCUCUCUGAUGCCUCAUUCUUCUAUAUUUCUAGGCUAUGCUCAACUGAUACUGAAACAAGAUGGUGAUACAUUAGGACUGCAAGAUGCUUUGCAACUUGUAGCAGAAAAUUGUCGGUUUGACAUACCCCAACAUUGGAUCAUGGAAAAGACUCUGUUUAUUUUCUGAAAAGCAAAUGGGGCUCAGAUGUGUGUUUUGGUAAGACAAAGAGAAGCCAGCUACACCAUGGCUGCAAACAAUCGAUUGCAUGUGAAAGAGUAGCCUCAAAUCACAGCCCAUGCCAAGCCAAGAAAAGGGUCAAAUUGUCUCUAUGCCCUAAUGAUUUAUAGCACAAAUAAACAAGUACAAUAACUGCCUCUUUCAGAAUGUUGACUCUUUCAUUCAUUUCAUGUAAGUGUGGAAGUUUUGGACUAAGCUCAUACUAAGAAUCCAGUAAUGCCUAUCGCAAAGGCGCCAGAUGUAUGCUUUCUUGGUUUUCUUUGAGGAAAGAGGGCUGUUGGUUUUAUUAAAGAAGAAAUCAUAGGACAAAACAGAGGGGGCAACCACCCUCCUAGAACUCCCUCUUACCCCUGUUUGCCUCAUUCUUCCUUCUGGCAAAGUAGAGAUGAUAAUAACAAAGAUUUUGAGGCUCAGAUCUGUACUCCAUCUCAUGCACCGCCAUUGCUACAAAUCCCAUUAUCGGGCUGCCGCGCCAAGAUACGGCCUAUCAACUCCUGAUUCCAUGAAGCUCGGGAAAAAAUCAAUCACCACAGCCCCGUUAUAGACCUUCCCUUGAACUUAAGGGACCAUUGAGGUCUUUUUUAUCACCUCAUUUUAAUUUCUUCUCCAUAAUUUUUUUGUGUAGCUUUUCAAGGUAACAAUACAAUACAAUGAGAACAACCAUCCAAACAGGGUGUUAGUGUACAGACAGAUAAAUGCAUAUCCAACUGGAUUGGUCAUUCCACCAUCACUCGAUUAUAGAGGGUUGGAGCCCUCUUGAUGCGAUGAUAAAAUGGCUAGUAUUCAAGGCUAGUCCCAAGAAACCAAGCUAAAUGGCUAUCCCAAUAAGAAGAUGAAGCCUGAUCAGGCCAAAAAUGAAAGCAAUCGAAGGAAGGGGUAGAGCAUGUUCUAUUUUUCCGAAUCUUAAAAGAUGAAAAUAGAGCAGAUUCAGGAUUUGAACUUUAUUUCUACAACCCAUUUUGAGUUCCUGGGUUUGCAAUCUAAUAGUUGUGGCAGAAGGCCACAGGUUCGACAUAUCCCAACAUCGAAUCAUGGAAAAGAUUCUAUUUUUUGUACUUUCAAGCAAAUGGGGUUCAGAUGUGUGUUAUGAUAAGGCAAAAGAGAAACCAACAACGCCAUGGCUGCGAAACACCGGUUGCAUGUGUGAGAGAAGAUUCAAAACUCUCAAUCACAGGCCAUACCGGGUUGCCACACCAAGAUACGGGUCGGCUCAUCUCAAUGCCCAAAUCGGUUAGCCGGGAUAUAGAAACAUCAUCAUCACUGCCUCUUUAUGUACCUUCCAUCAACACGGUAAAAUAGCACACAUAGGAAAAACAGAAAUGUUAGUAUACAACAACAACUACUAAAGGGCACCCGGUGCAGUAAGCUAGCGCUAUGCGCGGGUCCGGAAAGGGCCGGACCACAAGGGUCUAUCCUACGUAGCCUUACACUAUUUCUGCAAGAUCUCGAACCGUAAACUCUUGAUCACAUGGCAUCUAACUUUACCAGUUAAGUCAAGGCUCGAACAGAAAUGCUAGCAUAUAUAACUUAAAUCAUUUCUGUUGCUUCUGCUUUUGUCAUAAAGACAUAAAAAGGGCUGUUGGUACUUUUUUUCUCUUUUUUUUUUAAUAAUGGAGGAAAAUCAAUGGUGAAACAGAGAGGGGCAACCACCCUAACAAAGAAAAUCCCAAACUCUCUAUUUUUGCCUCAUUUCUUUAAAUUCUUCUGGGCUAACCUUUACCCUUUUCAUAAUUGCAGACUUGUGAGGUCUCAAAAAAUAAGGGUUAGUUUCUUCAAUCUAAUAAGCUGAUUUUAGCCAAACAGGCUAUUACACGGACCUGUUCGUGAGGGCUCAGAUUUGCUGUAUUUUUUGUCAAAGCAAAAGAGAAGGCGACGCCGCCAUGGCUGCAAACACCAGUUAGCUAUACAAGAGCCAUACCGGGUUGCCCCGCCAAGAUACGGGUCGGAUAUUUUCUCAAUGCCAUGAAUUGAACAUAGCCAGAAAUGGAAAAAGCAAUCAUCACAGCCCCGUUACAACAUCAGUAUUCAGUAGCAGCAGCACAAAGCAGAGGAGGAAAAGGAAUAUAUAUUAGGGGUGUGUUUGGAUGAUUUUUUUUGUUUGUUUUUUUGGUUUAAUUGAAAGGGCUGUUGAUUUUUAAUGGAGAAAUCACAGGUAUAACAGAGAGGGGCAACCACCCUUUUCAUAGAAAAUCCCAAUCUCUCUGUUGCCUCAUUCUUCUUCAUUUCUAAGGCUAUGCUCAAAGCUAUUUUCUGGUUGAAGCGUCAGCAUAAAUAGGGCAAAAC